rnacentral:misc_RNA from 2 species
GAAAUGCGAUAAGUAGUGUGAAUUGCAGAAUUCAGUGAAUCAUCGAAUCUUUGAACGCACAUUGCGCCUUAUGGUAGUCCGUAAGGCAUGCCUGUUCGAACGUCAUCAAAACCCUCGAGUCCUCUGGCUUUACCAGCCACGGGAGCCUCGGUAUUGCUCGUGGACGGACCUUCAUGGUCCCUCCAGGGCGAAUUCCAUUGUGCUGAUUCCACAGGUCGCCACAGCGUAGUAAGCCUAAAAAGCUCUCGCCUGGCUAAUGACUUGGCUGGCGUCAUGCCAUUGAACCCCACAAUCUCAAAGAGUUUGACUUCGGAUCAGGUAGGGAUACCCGCUGAACUUAA